GGUGAACGCUAGCUACAGGCUUAACACAUGCAAGUCGAGGGGUAACGAGAGGAAAGCUUGCUUUCCUUGUCGACGACCGGCGCACGGGUGAGUAACGCGUAUCCAACCUGCCCCCAACUAGGGAAUAACCUUGCGAAAGUAAGACUAAUACCCUAUAAUUUCCUCAGAUGACAUCUGACGAGGAAUAAAGAUUUAUCGGUUGUGGAUGGGGAUGCGUCUGAUUAGCUUGUUGGCGGGGUAACGGCCCACCAAGGCAACGAUCAGUAGGGGUUCUGAGAGGAAGGUCCCCCACAUUGGAACUGAGAAACGGUCCAAACUCCUACGGGAGGCAGCAGUGAGGAAUAUUGGUCAAUGGGCGGAAGCCUGAACCAGCCAAGUAGCGUGCAGGAUGACGGCCCUAUGGGUUGUAAACUGCUUUUAUACAGGAAUAAAGUUAGCCACGUGUGGUUAUUUGUAGGUACUGUAUGAAUAAGGACCGGCUAAUUCCGUGCCAGCCGCCGCAGUAA
rnacentral:rRNA from 1 species